GGUGUCGUGGCUCAGUGGUAGAGCUUUUUGCUUGGGAUGCAAAAGGUUUCAGGUUCAAUCCCUGACCUCUCCA
rnacentral:tRNA from 1 species